AAGAAAUAUACAGAGUUCAGAAAGAGCCUUACAUUGGAUCCUGACUGCUAGAGAAAACAGAAUUUACAUGUAGCAAUCCGGAAAGUUUCCAAGGCAACACCAGCUUCUUAUGACAUCCCAAAGAGAGGUCACAAUUGUGGCAGGCAUGUCAAUAUUGCUGGUUAAGCCUUGAGAGGUCCUUUUUGGUUAGGAUGAGAACAUCAUGGCCUCACCUUUGGAUUCCAAAGCAGAUUCAACACAAGAGUUCUUAAAAACACAAUACUUUUAUUGGCUUCUCAUCCUUUGGCAACAGCACACUCAUAUGCAGCUUGUUGAUUUGGCUGAAUCCUUCAUUCAGGAGCUUGGUGUAGCGUUCAGUGUGGCUCCUCCUGCAGUUCUUCUUGGCUCCCAGAGGUCAGCACCAGGCAGUGCUCUCAGCUUUUUCCCCAAUCAGGACCCUACACCUAUAUUCAAAGCCAUUCUAGUUUAG
rnacentral:lncRNA from 1 species